rnacentral:rRNA from 1 species
CACCCGCAGCACAAGUGGUGGUCACUUUUAUUGAGCCUAAAGCGUUCGUAGCCGGUUUUGUAAAUCUUCAGAUAAAUACUGAAGCUUAACUCCAGAAAGUCUGAAGAGACUGCAAGACUUGAGAUCGGGUGAGGUUAAACGUACUUUCGGGGUAGGGGUAAAAUCCUGUAAUCCUGGAAGGACGACCAGUGGCGAAAGCGUUUAACUAGAACGAAUCUGACGGUAAGGAACGAAGGCUAGGGUAGCAAACCGG